UGUACGUAGAAUCUAGCUCAAUGUUACAACAUAAACCCUUGAUAAUAUAGUCUAGCAAAUAUUAGAAACUAACCGCAAAUCCGGUGAUUUCCAUUUCAAAUGAAAAAAACCAGAAGAUCUUCAUAAGGUCUAAUGAUAAUCUACUCCUAUCUCAAGUUACUAAUUAACAAACCCAGGAACAAUGACGAUGAUGUACAAAGUCUAUACAAAUGUCGACAGAAUAGAGAUGAACAGGAAGAAAAAGAGAGAAUAUCACCUCCAAUUAAUCUAUGAGAAUUCAAGGUUAGUAAGAAAAAUGUCCACUUAAAGUGUUUGUUUUUUUUUCGUCAUAUACUGCAACACUUCUAUUGUGCUGAAUUCCUAAAAUUCAAUUGCUAUUUAAAACACAUUGCUAUUAUCUAAAUUAUUUUCAAUUUAACUGUGACCAAAUUUUACAUUUUGAACAUGAACCGUGUUGAUUACCAGAAAUUACAUGUACAAUACCAGAAAUAAUGUGUCACUCAGCAACCAAAUCACCAUUUCAGAAUACAGAUUACAGAAACAAGCUUCAUGGCAUUGAUAAGUGAUGAAUACCCUGAAAAAAGACACAUAACUCCAUCACUACCCUCACUCAGUAGGAACGAACCUUUCAACUGAAAAGAUGUGAAUCCUUUGUUGACAAUUUUAUGAGCUGUGAGCAGUAAGUACUUAAGAAGCGGAGGAUUACUUUUUUCGUCGAAAUCUUCCAAAAAACUGCUCAAUCAAUGACAAUAUCCACAAAAUUUUAACAUUAUUAGGCUUAUUCUUCUCAUACAAAGUUACAACAAAGUCUUCAUGUUAUGUAUCCUGGGUUUGGACAGGAUAAUAUUACCCGCUUAAAAUAUUUCCAUCGCGUUACAUAAUACUCAAUAAAUGUAAUAGAUUUGUAGUGUUGUAAUUAGUUUUGAACUGCUGAAGUUUAUGGCCAGCCCUGAUAUAUAACAACCUUAGAAAAGCAAACCUAUUUGCCUUCGUUUUUAAACUUACUUUCAGCUUUUAUCAGCAGCUACAAUUACGGUACGUACCUAUACUUAAUACGUAGAAUCUAGUCAAUUGUAAUAACAUACACCAUUGAUAGCUUGGUGAUAUUGUCUAGCAAAUAUUAGAAACUGACUGGAAAUCCGGUGCUUUCCAUUUCAAAUGGCAAAAGCGAGAAGAUUUUUAUAUCGUCAAUUAUUGAUAAUUUACUCUUAUUUUAAGUUAUUAAUAACCAACUCCAGGAACGAAGACGAUGCUGUAUAUUAAAGACUAUACGAAUGUUCAACAGGAAGAAAGAGAGGAUAUCAGCUUCAACCAAUUAAUGAGAAUUGAAGAUUCUUACUCAGAAGGAAAGAACCUUUCAACUGAUAAAACAAAAUGUGAACCCUUUGUAAACCUUUUUAGGCAGCUGUGAAUAGUAA